CUUCUAAUUUUAUUUUUAUUUUUUUCUUGCUAGUGACAAUGGGGGCAUUCUGUCUCUCUGGCAGCUGAAUUCCAGGAAACUACCAGCAUGAGGGUUAAUAGCAGCUGUAUUUUCUGGGUCUUUGGAAGGUGCCAGCAGCAUCUCCAGUCAUGACAAUAAGAAAUAUUUCCAGACCUCACCAAGUAUUCCCUAUAGGACAAAAUUGUUCCCAGGUGAGAACCAAUUCCUUACAGAUAUAGAAGAGGAGGACCACUUUGGCCAUGAACAUUUACAGAUAUAGAAGAGGAUGACCACUUUGGCCAUGAACAUUUGGGAUAAGGCCAGGACUUGGAUGCAAAUCUCUUGAUAUUCAGAUUUUAUUCUUCACAUGGACCAGAUUUUUAAAACAUUGCCCAGCUUUCUGGUUUAUGUUCAUCUAUAGGAGAUACUGCCUUAAUGGUAUGACAGAUGGUCAGCUGCUCAAAUGUGAAGAUUUAGUCUAAAACGAAAUCUGUAAACCUGCUCAGAAGCCUGGAAAACAUCUCCAUUUUUCUUUAAGUUUCCCCUCCAACUGUCUCUCCAUCGAAGAACAAAGGAAAAUCAGUUGGAACCGACAUCAGGUCCUGUGAAAAGCUGCCGUGGUCCCUGUCCUCAUGCACCAUGUAGUCUAGUGGGGAGUUGGACCUUGAGUUAAUCACUAACAGGAAAUGCUUAAGUAAAUAAUGACAAAGGCAAGUGCUAAGAAGAAAAGUAUGGAGUCCAAGCUGACCAGGCAUGCAAGGUGGCUCAAGGGAAAAAAAGGACAAGGUCUGGCAAAUGAGAGGAAUUAAGUAAAUUAAGUUAUUUAUGGAGAAAGAAGGGGAAGACUGUCUUACACAGUGGGGAUAGCAUUUGCAAAGGGACUGAGGUUGAGGACUGAUUUUUACUAUGGCUGGGAUAAAAUGAAUCAAGGGGAGGGGCAAUGGGUGAAAUGAACUGAGAUGAAACAGGGAUGAAGGCACAGGCCAGCUCACAGCUCAGGUUGUGUGAACAAUUUUGGACUUGAUCAUUCAGAAGGGGGAGCAAUGAAGAGCCUUAAGUAGAAGACAAACAUGAAGAAAUUUAUGUUUCAUUAAGAUCCUGCUGACUAUCGGGUAAAAAGUGUGUUGAAGAGUUAGGAAUGGAGACAAGGAAUCAUUUAAAAUGCCACUGUGGCUGUCCAGCUGAGAUUUGGUAGCUUACCUUGAUGGGUAAUUGGAAUGGAUUGAAGAGGAGUGAUUUUAGAGAUAUUUAGCUAAUUAGGAAGUGGAACCCAAAAGAUUGGGGACUGACUAAAUGGGCAGGGGAGAGGGAGAGGUGAAAGAAGAGGUGCUAAAGAGGACAGACAUUAAGACAGUUUCUGUAAAGCGAUUGCAGCCCAAUUCAAGCUGACUUGCGCCUCAAUAAAAAUUUAUUAAUAAAUACUAGAAAAGUCUGGGGAUAGAUCAGAUGCUUCAGAUAUUGCUGGACCCAGGAGUUCAGAUGAUGUCUUUAGAAGUAGCUCUCUCCUAUCUUUUUUAUCUGCAGUUUUGGCUUCACCCUUUUGACAAAGCUUUCUUUAUGGUGACAGGAUCAUUGCUGAUGACUCCAGGUUUAUAUCCUCAUAGGGCAGCAACUCUAGAAGAAGGGAAUUUUUCAAUAUUUUCAGCAACUAUUCUAGAAUGAAGCAUCUUGGCUAGACCUAGGUAAUAUGUUUACCCCUGGAGCUUGAGGGUAGAAUCAAUUCCACCUACAGCAAAUACACAUAAAGUGGAGAAGGGAAUUUGAAGAGCUAUUACCAUUACAAUGGUGAAUGGAUGGCAGGUAGGCAGGAAUGACAGUACUUAUUACACAGAACUCCUCCAAUUUUUAUGGUCUCAACUGUGUGGAUAAGGAGAUUUUACCCAUGAGGAAGAGUAUAGUAUUGAGGGGAAAUAUCACAAGUUCAGAGGCUUUUCUGAGGCUUAUUAGACUUUUUCAUUGGGAUACAGAGUAAGCAGAUGGAUACAUGGAUCUGAUGCUCGGUAGAAAGUUCUUAGCAGUAGUUCAAAUCUUGGGAGAUAUCAGUGUACAGGAUACUGAUAAGAUCAUCUGAGGAGUGUGUCGAAUGUGAAGAGGAAAUUUAAUAGCUGGGGUAAAGGAAGAGGAGAAGGCUGUAGAACACAAUAUAAAAGAAGGUCUAGUCUGUUAGUUAGAAGGAAACCUUGUGGUAAUGAUGCCAUGAAAGUCCAGACUCUUUCCUGAAAGUAAGGAUGGAAUGGCUUACUGUGUGCCAUGCCUCUGAGAGAGAAAAUCAGAUGACGAUGUGUACCUUGAACAGGGAAACAUGGUGAUGCUUGGUGACCUUAGUCACUGGGACAGGUUUAGGUAGAGCAAAGAAGAAGAAGGCACAAUUAGUAUGGGGUUAAAGAAUGAAUAAGAAUUGAAAUGAUAGCAAAAUUUAGAAAUUUUCCACAAAGGAGUACAGAUUGACAAAACAAUGUCUGGAACAGGAAAUGGUCUAAGGAAAGUUUUUGUUGUUGCUGUUGUUGAUUUAAUUUUUUUUUGUAAAGCAACUUGAAUAUAUUAAAAAGAAAGUUGGAAAUGCCCAAGAUAAAAGACUGCAGAAGAUGGGAUUCAAGGCACAGGUUAAUGGAGAAAACUUGGUAUAGAGAAGGACCAACUGCUUCAAUGCAAUUGAAAGGGAAAAGGAUGAGUACUGCUACAGGAAAGUGUGUGGGUCUAGUGACCAGAAGUUGCAGUCAUUCUCUGAUAAUGGUGUCCAUUACAAAGUUACAUUAUCUCCUUAGAGUGAAUUUGAGGAGAGUUGAGAGAUUUGAGGAGAGUUGAGAGACUUAAAACAAUGUGCAGAAAAAUGAUCUCAAGCUAGAACAUGAUCUAUAAGCAAUGCCUAUGACUGGGAGGCCAAGUUGGCCUGAUCUGACCAGUUGGCUAUUUCCUAUGAUAGAGCUCAAUAGCCUCUGUAUGGAACCUGAGAAGAUGGAUGGCUGGUCCUCUGGAUAUGAUGGAAGAGCAAAAUUUGACCUAGGAAUUGAUGGAGUAAAACCCUACCAUAACAUUUCACAUGGGGCUGUGGGCAAAAAUUCAACUACAAAAAAAUGGAGAACAUUUUUAUGGUUAGCUUAGUGAAAUGAGAAUGGGCACUGGUAAAGGAUAGGAGCCAACCCACCAAAUACUGUCAUUAAAUUCAUUAAAUUUACAUUACCACAGGAAGUUCUCAUGGGCUUUUACUGAGUUUCCAGGAGAAUGAUUGAAAAGAUGAACACUAGAAUCUUUGUUGGGUAGGGAAGAAGGGUGGAAAGGUGGAUACCGGAAACAAGGAGAAGGAAAUUGACAAUAGAAGGUCCUAAAGAGGUGAGAGAAUACAUGUGAAAAACAUAUUGUCCAUAAGUGGCACAGUCAGGCUUAGAAGGAAGAGGAGGCCAUGAUCCAUGGAAUAAAAAUAACUGAGGCAUUAGAAGGCCCAGGUUCUGGUACAAGCUUACUAACCAUGGUGGUCUGGCUGCUUGCUUCAUUGUCCUCAUUUAAAAUUGAGAAUAAUGCUAUCUUUCCCACUCAUCUUACUGAGCUGUUGCCAGCAAUUAGCUGAAGUACUGUGGAUAUGAGCUAUAU